rnacentral:rRNA from 1 species
AUGGACAUGCGCAACACCACCCCGGUGACAUGGAUUAAAAGCUCACCUGUUUGGGGCAAGGUGUUUUUCACAAACACGAAAAGCGCCGUUCCUGGAGACAGAUGUAACCUGGAGCGCAGGAUGAAAAUGAACUGCCCAACUAGCAUGUCACAUGGAACCAGGUACCUGCAAUCAAAAACAAGCAAUCAUCAAUGGUUGCACAAUAUAAAGGAACAAACAUCAUGUCUGGUCUUGAGAUAUGCUUACUUCCUCUUUUCCAUUUCUGGAAGGUUACUCCUCGAAAACCUUUCAACAAUCACCUGCAAAUGCAAACAUGGGCAUAAUGUUGGAGCAGCAUACAUACAAACAGAUAAAUUUGAUUAA